rnacentral:rRNA from 1 species
AUGGGUCUAAAAGAAAUUCCAAAGCAAAUCAAUAUCAAAUCAUGUAGCUUGUUUGCUCUCAGUGAGCUAGGGAGAGCUAGCUGGCACUAUUUCAGAGUCUUGGUCCCUAAUUUCGCCAUGGAGUUCGGAUGCCAGUUUAACGAUGGAAUCGAGGGUCUCAGCGGUCUCAGGAAUUGUUUUUGUCCUCGUCCCAGCUGUGAAAACCAUGCAGCUCUCGAGAUCCAGCAUGGUCUUCGAAACACGAGAGAGCAAUGCCAUGAGGCUCUGCAUUUCAGCUUGUUUCUUCAUUGCUGCUAUGACCAGCCUAGUGGUAAGCUUCAUCAGUGUCAGGCUGUCGGCGGUCAUGUGAUCCCUGUUUAA